ensembl:lncRNA
AAAUGACACACUUUAUUAAAAGUUACAUUCAGCAUCAAUGGACACGUUUACUUAAGAUUUUAACUGUCAAGGAGCUUAUAAUUAUAAAUCCCUCUAAGGCAUUAAAAGCUCUUAGAUGUUUUAACUUCUUUGCGAUCAUUUCAUAUAAAUAGGAUAUGCAAGUGAUGAUGCUUGCCUAAGAGGAUACCCCUGCUGCACUAAACAAAGAUAUACAUAUAAAUAUAUGUAUAAUACAAUUAAUUUUUCCCUUGUUAUAAACUCUCUGAUGGGGGGUAUUUCACAACCCUUAAGGCUUGAGCUCUGGCCCUGCAAUCGCUAUUCACGUAAGAAGCCUCCUGUUAGGUACAGACUGCUCACAUGGAUGAGAGCUGCAGGACAGGCAUAAGCUUUGGCAGAAUCAGUAAGAACAUCAAAAUGCUCAGUGAAAUAUAUUUACCGUCUGUGCAAGCACCAUCACUUAUUUGCAUCACUUAGAGAGGUCUCUCUCUGAAGCUACAGAGGACAGGCACUGUGGCAAAGGCUAAUUGGCAUCUAUUAGUUUCUAGUUUUUUAAGGGUUUGCUCCUCCUUGGUCUCUGGAACUGGGGGACUUUGGAUGCAGCACAGGGCAGAGCAUUGCCCAUGUGCCACUGCAGGCAUGAGCUCAGGGCACGGGCGUGUUGAGUUGCAGCUCGAGCAGGACAAACCUUCUGUGAUGCACAGUGGUUCAGCUGCUUUUCUGAGCAUAAACAGCAAAAGUGUCAACUGCGUCCAGCUGUAGCCAACCCCCCAGUAAGUAGCAAAUAAUCCAUCUUUGUUCCAAUCAACCAUGCUCUUGUAGGUGUAGCACCUACAACAUCGGUACAUGUGUGUGGGGAUGAAGAAAAUGACUACUGAAACACGGGCUGUGACAGAUGAACUGCACAAACUAAUGUGAAUCAAUACGGCUGCCGGGUCUGAUUCUCCACAACCUCACCACUGAGUUGACGUUUGCGCACAACUCCUUUGGCUUGGUGCUUUACAAUAGGCCCAGUCAGAGAGGCCGGCCUGGCCUUACUUUACACAGGAGUUGGUUACUUCACGGCAUGUGGCUGAUGCAAGCUCCCAGAAUAAAGUCACUGUAAGCCGCUCAGUGCCAGACGCUAAUUGCUACAUGGAGUCCAUCCCCACAGACAGACAGCCUCACUGAGGGGUUUCACCAGCACAGCCCAGCUGCAGCAGCAGCAAGGCCUCAGUCACACGAAGGCACACUCCACGACUUACUCCUAAAAGAUCACAGUUGUCCACUGAAGACAACUGCACUUCUGUACUCUGCUUUCAGCUCCCCUCUUGCACAGCUGGUUGGGAAGCACCAAGGUGACAGAGGCGCUGUCAAGGGUUUAGUUUCUCACUCUCCACUUUUUCUGCCCUGGUCCCAGUUGUGAUAACCACCGCCUGCUCCUCAUCUCAGCACAUGAGGGCAGAGCGCUGGCUGGGUCACGGUUUCUGGGACCCAACAGAACCCUACUGCUGGCAGUAGAAGGAUCAGAUCCUAAAGUACAUUAUUUUUACCCCAUUCACCUCACGGACACAACAAAAGAGAGAGGUUCCAAGAACCGGCUUGGAUUUGGGAUGAAGGGAGGGAAAUGCUCCUCCCUUCCUUUUAUUCUGGGUCUGCUGGUUUGAAUUGUGUCUUAAUAACAAGACAGUGUUUUUUCAGGGAGAUACUAAAAAUGCUGGAGUCAACAGUAUUUCCACCCUUGAUCAAAAUGGCUUCUGUAACAAAAUGGAAAUAUCACAGGGGGAAAUUACUGCAAAAAUAUUUUAGUUUAUGAAGUGACUCCACUUUAAUGGAGACGUUUUCCAAUGCGACCAAGGACAGCUAGGGAUCCAAGAUCCUCUGUAGAUGAAAGUGAACUGGGACCACAGCUCCCAUUUGUGCCCUGAAAAUCUUAAUCUAAAAGCCUGCUGGGCUCUGCGGAUACCCAGCAACUUCCCUUCUAAAACCAUCUCAGGAAAUUGAGAGUACAUCAG